CUGGGCAGGUCCCUGGGCUGCUUGGUCUGUUCUUCUGGCCUCUAGUGCUGAGCAGCCUGGUGAAGCUGUCUAGUGGGAACCCAUUUUCCAGGUGAGGAAGCUGAGGCUGCACCCCCAGGCCCCAGCCUCCAGCCGCCUUCUUGGAAAGGCCCUCCCCUCCCCCUGGCUCCUCGUGUUUGUCCAGCAGACAGGGGCCAGCGGGGUCUGGGAAAGCCACGCUGGAGCCCAGUCCAGCUGCGGCAGGGGAUGGGAGGGCAGCUCCUCCGUGACCUUCAGCCUGGGAAAACUCUGAGCCCUUCCUGUCCCCGCCCUGCGGCAGCCCCAUCCCCACAGCUGCGAGAAAUUCCCGGGGGGAGGGGGGGCGAGGGGGGGGGCAGCGUCCAGUGGAGCUGGGAGGGGGAGAGGCCUAGACUGGAGGGGUUGAUCCCCGACCCCACUGGUCCCUGGGGUGAUCCUGGAUUACCGGAAGCCCGGGCUCUGGGCUUGUCUGAGGACCGCCUGCCCAGCUUCCGGUGGCCCCGCUCGGCCUCCUGUGAGGGUCCACACCCAGUGGCCUCCUUGACCCACACAGCAGCCCUGCCAAGACAAGACCGCUGUUGUCCCAGUUUACCGGCGAAGAAACCGAGGCCCAGAGAGAAGAGAGGACUGGCCAAGGUCAAGGUCCUGCAGAGGCCACGCUGGACUCUGCUUACUACUCGCGAGCUCUCAGGGGAGACUCUGGACCUGACUCCGGCACGUUCUAGUCCCAGCCGUGCUGUGGGUCAUGGAGCAAACCCCCUCCCUGAGCCCCCACUUGCUCAUCUGCAAACUAGAAGCCACCUGUGUCUGUCUCAUGGGGCACCACCCGGAGCCAAUGAGCGAGCCCUGUGCCCAGCACCGGGUCAUGCCCACUUACAAAAUACACUAGGGAGCAUGUUGGGAACUCACAGGUGCAGGGCCUGGGGGUCGCGACUUAAGCAGGCUACGUAGAG
rnacentral:lncRNA from 1 species